GUGUCAGCCGCCGCGGUAAAACGUAGGACGCGAGCGUUAUCCGGAGUUACUGGGCGUAAAGCGCGGGCAGGCGGCCUGCCAAGUCUGAUGUGAAAUCACCCGGCUUAACCGGGCGAGGCCAUUGGAAACUGAUAGGCUGGAGGGCAGUAGAGGUAGGCGGAAUUCCGGGUGGAGUGGUGAAAUGCGUAGAGAUCCGGAGGAACACCAGAGGCGAAGGCGGCCUACUGGGCUGCACCUGACGCUGAGCCGCGAAAGCCAGGGGAGCGAACGGGAUUAGAUACCCCUGUAGUCC
rnacentral:rRNA from 1 species